UACGGGGGGGGCAAGCGUUGUUCGGAAUUACUGGGCGUAAAGGGCUCGUAGGCGGCCAACUAAGUCAGACGUGAAAUCCCCAGGCUCAACCUGGGAACUGCGUCUGAUACUGGAUGGCUUGAAUCCGGGAGAGGGAUGCAGAAUUCCAGGUGUAGCGGUGAAAUGCGUAGAUAUCUGGAGGAAUACCGGUGGCGAAGGCGGUUCUCUGGGCCUUACCUGACGCUGAGGAGCGAAAGCGUGGGGAGCGAACAGG
rnacentral:rRNA from 1 species